CCCAGACUCCUACGGGAGGCAGCAGUGGGGAAUAUUGCACAAUGGGGGAAACCCUGAUGCAGCGACGCCGCGUGAGUGAAGAAGUAUUUCGGUAUGUAAAGCUCUAUCAGCAGGGAAGAAGCAGACGGUACCUGACUAAGAAGCCCCGGCUAACUACGUGCCAGCAGCCGCGGUAAUACGUAGGGGGCAAGCGUUAUCCGGAUUUACUGGGUGUAAAGGGAGCGUAGACGGCUAAGCAAGUCUGAAGUGAAAGCCCGGGGCUUAACCCCGGGACUGCUUUGGAAACUGUUAAGCUAGAGUGCUGGAGAGGUAAGUGGAAUUCCUAGUGUAGCGGUGAAAUGCGUAGAUAUUAGGAGGAACACCAGUGGCGAAGGCGGCUUACUGGACAGUAACUGACGUUGAGGCUCGAAAGCGUGGGGAGCAAACAGGAUUAGAUACCCCGGUA
rnacentral:rRNA from 1 species